UGAAGUUGUUGAUGCCAUACUUCCAGGAAAAGCCUCUAAGCUUCAGAUUAUACCGAAUCGUACCCCAAACCGACACAGGUGGUCAGGUAGAGAAUACUAAGGCGCUUGAGAGAACUCGGGUGAAGGAACUAGGCAAAAUCGUACCGUAACUUCGGGAGAAGGUACGCUCCUAUCUGUGAUGAGACUUGCUCUCUAAGCGGACGGGAGCCGCAGUGACCAGGUGGCUGGGACUGUUUAUUAAAAACACAGCACUGUGCAAAAUCGCAAGAUGACGUAUACGGUGUGACACCUGCCCGGUGCCGGAAGGUUAAUUGAUGGGGUUAUCCUUAGGGAGAAGCUCUUGAUCGAAGCCCCGGUAAACGGCGGCCGUAACUAUAACGGUCCUAAGGUAGCGAAAUUCCUUGUCGGGUAAGUUCCGACCUGCACGAAUGGUGUAACCAUGGCCACGCUGUCUCCACCCGAGACUCAGUGAAAUUGAAAUCGCAGUGAAGAUGCUGUGUACCCGCGGCUAGACGGAAAGACCCCGUGAACCUUUACUACAGCUUGGCACUGAACAUUGAACCUACAUGUGUAGGAUAGGUGGGAGACUUUGAAGCAGAGACGCUAGUUUUUGUGGAGUCGUCCUUGAAAUACCACCCUUGUAGUUUUGAUGUUCUAACGUUGGCCCCUGAAUCGGGGUUACGGACAGUGCCUGGUGGGUAGUUUGACUGGGGCGGUCUCCUCCCAAAGAGUAACGGAGGAGCACGAAGGUUGGCUAAGUACGGUCGGACAUCGUACGGUUAGUGUAAUGGUAGAAGCCAGCUUAACUGCGAGACAGACACGUCGAGCAGGUACGAAAGUAGGUCAUAGUGAUCCGGUGGUUCUGAAUGGAAGGGCCAUCGCUCAACGGAUAAAAGGUACUCCGGGGAUAACAGGCUGAUACCGCCCAAGAGUUCAUAUCGACGGCGGUGUUUGGCACCUCGAUGUCGGCUCAUCACAUCCUGGGGCUGAAGUCGGUCCCAAGGGUAUGGCUGUUCGCCAUUUAAAGUGGUACGCGAGCUGGGUUUAGAACGUCGUGAGACAGUUCGGUCCCUAUCUGCCGUGGGCGUUUGAGAAUUGAGAGGGGUUGCUCCUAGUACGAGAGGACCGGAGUGAACGAACCGCUGGUGUUCGGGUUGUCAUGCCAAUGGCAUUGCCCGGUAGCUACGUUCGGAACUGAUAAGCGCUGAAAGCAUCUAAGCGCGAAGCAGGCCUCGAGAUGAUUUCUCACUAGACUUUUAAAGUCUCUGAAGGGCCGUUGAAGACUACAACGUUGAUAGGCAAGAUGUGGAAGUGGUGUGAGCCAUUAAGCUAACUUGUACUAAUUACCCGUGAGGCUUAACCAU
rnacentral:rRNA from 1 species